rnacentral:rRNA from 1 species
GGAUUAGAUACCCUGGUAGUCCACGCCGUAAACGAUGACAACUAGCUGUUGGAAAGCUAUGCUUUUCAGUGGCGCAGCUAACGUCUUAAGUUGUCCGCCUGGGGAGUACGGCCGCAAGGUUAAAACUCAAAUGAAUUGACGGGGGCCCGCACAAGCGGUGGAGCAUGUGGUUUAAUUCGAAGCAACGCGCAGAACCUUACCAACCCUUGACAUCCUGUGCUACAUCCAGAGAUGGAUGGUUCCCUUCGGGGACGCAGUGACAGGUGCUGCAUGGCUGUCGUCAGCUCGUGCCG